GGGCUUUCCCUGGCGUAAAGGUGGUGGACAGGAUAGAAGAGGAGUUUCGGCGUCGGGCGCGUGUUUGCGGUCGCGCGAGUGUUGGGGACCGUGAGUUGAAGGUGUGUGCGGUGUUGAGUGUAUGGGGCGUGUGGGCGCAGUUCGGUAUCGCUUCUCGGCCUUUUGGCUAAGAUCAAGUGUAGUAUCUGUUCUUAUCAGUUUAAUAUCUGAUACGUCCUCUAUCCGAGGACAAUAUAUUAAAUGGAUUUUUGGAAGUAGGAGUUGGAAUAGGAGCUUGCUCCGUCCACUCCACGCAUCGACCUGGUAUUGCAGUACCUCCAGGAACGGUGCACCCCCUCUGGGGAAUAAGAAUGGUCAGAAAAAUAGACUUUCGAA
rnacentral:lncRNA from 1 species